CAUAUUCUGUUGUGUAAUGAUUUCUUCCGUAAAGGGGGCCUGCGGAGGGAUCAUUACACAACAAAAUAUGAAGGCCUGGCUUUCGCGGCCGGCUGAAGUAUUUUUUUCACCCAUGUCUUUUGCGCACUUGUUGUUUCCUGGGCGGGUUCGCCCGCCACCAGGACCAAACCAUAAACCUUUUUUUCUUAUGCAGUUUCCAUCAGCGUCAGUAAAAACAAUGUAAUUAUUACAACUUUCAACAACGGAUCUCUUGGUUCUGGCAUCGAUGAAGAACGCAGCGAAAUGCGAUACGUAGUGUGAAUUGCAGAAUUCAGUGAAUCAUCGAAUCUUUGAACGCACAUUGCGCCCUUUGGUAUUCCAAAGGGCAUGCCUGUUCGAGCGUCAUUUGUACCUUCAAGCUUUGCUUGGUGUUGGGCGUUUUUUUGUCUCCCUCUUUCUGGGAGACUCGCCUUAAAACGAUUGGCAGCCGGCCUACUGGUUUCGGAGCGCAGCACAUUUUUUGCGCUUUGUAUCAGGAGAAAAGGACGGUACUCCAUCAAGACUCUACAUUUUUCACUUUUGACCUCGGAUCAGGUAGGGAUACCCGCUGAACUUAAGC
rnacentral:rRNA from 1 species